CAAUAGCGUAUAUUAAAGUUGUUGCAGUUAAAAAGCUCGUAGUUGGACCUUGGACCUGGACAGGCGGUCCGCCUCACGGCGAGUACUGUCUUGCUGGGUCUUUCCUCUUGGUGAUCUGUUGUUUCGGCAGCAGGGAACCAGGACCUUUACUCUGAAAAAAUUAGAGUGUUCAAAGCAGGCUCGACGCCGGAAUAUAUUAGCAUGGAAUAAUAAAAUAGGACGUGCGGUUCUAUUUUGUUGGUUUUUGGAAUCGCCGUAAUGAUUAAUAGGGACAGUCGGGGGCAUUAGUACUCACAUGCUAGAGGUGAAAUUCUUGGAUUUUGUGAAGACUAACUUCUGCGAAAGCAUUUGCCCAGGAUGUUUUCAUUAA
rnacentral:rRNA from 1 species